AGUAUUCUGGGAAGAGUUACGAUGGCGAGAUUGAGAUGGUUGGCUGUUACCAGGGCAACCGGAGGCGCUUGACAGUUAUCUGCGGUUUGGAACCGCUAGCUAGAGGGGCUGAGAUGCUCAGAGGCCUUUUAGGAUGAGCGAAAGGGUCAUGAGAACCCUCUUAAAAGAAGAUUGUUCUAUCAGGAGGUUAUCCAGUGGUUCUCCGCGAUAGAACUGCCGGACCUGGGGAUCUGGUCGCGCCCUCUUGUUUUUCUUUGAGUCAGUCCUUUAGAGUAAAUGAAGUGUGGCCCAGUAGCUCCUCACUGUCUCUUCUCUUGUUUUCUGCCUCCUUUUAGAAAAUGGAAUUGAAAAGACAGAGAUGAAGUGGAUGCAGCAUGUGGAGACAAUUCUUUCAAGAAGUUUGGCUGUAAAGGAAAAAAGAGAAGGUGCUAAAGACCACAUGAGCAAGGAGCAGACAAGUCACCUUUGCUACCACAUGGUGGUUUGUCUAAAUUGAAGCUAAAGAAGCCAAGCUGGAAGACAGAGACCAAGUCCUGAUGACAUUGUUUGAACUCAGGGAUCCCAACAUGCCUAAAAACUAUUUUUACCACUGGACUUCUCAGUUAAAUGAGCUAAUAAAUUCUCUUUUUUACUUAAA